GCAUAUGGAAGUUUCCAGGCUAGGGGGUCGAAUUGGAACUACAGCUGCUGGCCUUCGCCACAGCCACAGCAUUGCUGGAUCUGAGCCACGUCUGGGACCUACACCACAGCUCAUGGGAAUGCUGUAUCCCCAACCUUCUGUGCGAAGCCAGGGAUAAAACACUCAUCCUCAUGGAUACUAGUCAGAUUCGUUUCCGCUGCACCAUAACGGCAACUUCCCACAAUGAUUAAUUUCUCUUUUUUAAAUGUCACUUGGAAGACCCCUUUGCCACAUGGCCCUGGCUAAAAGUCUGGAUAAAUAAGUGUUAACAAAGGGAGAGACAGCUCCAGAAGGGAUUGUGAUUUGGGCAGCAGGUCUCACUGGCUCUUCGUAGUCAGAGGGAAGAAGGCAUUUUUACUGUAGAAGUUUGAUGAAUGCAAAUGGAAGGAACACAAAAGACCAUGGCCCAUACUUUUCAGCUGCCUCUCUUUCUAUCUGCAGCAAAUGCCACUUCAUGUGCUGAUUCCACAAAUGUGGAGCCCCUGUCCUCAUACCCAUUGGACAAACAGACCAGUCAGCAGCCUCACAACACAACCCAGGCAUGGAGAGAGGCCCUGCAAAGCCCCAGAACUUAGAACUGGAUCUGAAACCUUGACCAGGAAGUGACAUUUGUCUUUCUGUUAACCAAGCAAUAAGGGAACUGUCAGAAUAUCAGGGAGACAGAGGAAAUUGAAGCACUUGACUUAACCAUCCAUUUGUGAGCCAUUUUGGCAAUUACGGAUUUUCUGCUAGGGGGUGAGGAAGGGAGAAUUAGAAAAAAAGAAAAAGUCCAGAGGUCUUAAUUCUGAGGGGACUAACAGACAUGGCCUAUGUGGGACAGAAAGUGGGCUUAGAUGGACAGGCAAGACUUUUCUUUAGGAUAUAUAGAAUUGGAGACAAGGGGAGGGAGGAGGGAGGCCAGGGCCGUUGGCUCUGGAGGGAAGGAGUAGAAAAUGAAUUCCUGCCCUCCUUGUGGUCUCUACCUCACUGAGCAAAUCACUUGUAGAGACUGGAGUGACUAUGGGAAGGAGACACCAGCUGGGGUUCUGUUUGACAGCUGGAUAGGGCUGGCAACUGUCCCUUUGCCAAUGAGCUAGAGUUGGCAGUGGGACAGUAUGCAUCCCAGAGAUGGGGCAUGCCAAGAUUCACGAGGACCCAAGGGUCAAAUAGACACAGCAGAAGCAGGGUUUGUGCCUCCUUGCCAAUCCACUGCCCUCUCUGAGAGGGUGCCCGCUGGGUGAGGGAACCCUUCUGGGGAGUGAAGGUAUGCAGUCGGCAAUGAAAACUGAGGGGGGCAGAAGGAGGCUGAGUCAGAUGUCCCUCCUUUCUCCUGCAGGCAGUGCCCACAUCCUGUCCAGCCUAGAUCCAUCCAUAAUAUUAAGGACCUUUGAAGUAAAGGGACAGGGCAUGUAACCAGUUGAGUUGCCAGAUAAAAUAUAAGACAACCAGUUAAAUUUGAAUUUCAUAAGGAAUAGUUGUUAUUGCAUGAGACGUACUUAACACUAAAAAAAGACUAUUCCUUGUUUAUCUUAAAUCCAAAUUUAAUUGGGUGUCUUUUUUUUUUUAAUUUGUUUUGCUAAAUCUGGUAUUCCUAGUAACAGAACAACAUGCUAAGCGAACCUUAACAUUUUUGAAGAUGGCAUUUAAGUAGUAGGGUCUUGUCAUGUCUUGGCAAAAGUGGAAACUUCUGUAAAUGGUCUGAGUUCUCCAAGUGCUAGAAUUUGGUUACUAACUCCCAGAUGAUAAUUCCCUCUCCAAAACUGGGUCCCUCUUCCCUCUGGGAGCUGUGGGAUGAGAGAAAAGAAAUCCUCUACACAGGCUGGUUUGAUUGGCCAGCCAAAGCAGUAGGCAAUAUCUCAGGGGUUUCAAACUGCAGGUUACAACUCCUGUAGUUUGUGAACCCAGGUCAUGCCAGCAUUUUGAGUAGGUGGUAGGGUGUGUUUUAGGGGAGGGAAUCAAAUUGUAUUGCCUAUAUUUUAUCUCAAAAAAAUCUUUUGUGUCUCUGAGUCACUGUGUGUGUAUGUAACUAACAACAUUUCCUACUAUAGUCAGGGUCCAAAAUAUUUGAAAGGCACCGAUAUGACCUUGAGACUUGCAAGACAUUAUUGUGAAAACUGUAUUGAAUCAACAACCAAGAUGAGUUGGUUUCACAUUGACAGGUUAGGAUAAGCUUUGCCUUAUUCUGGAAGAAUCACCCUCUGGGACCACUUUAUCUUUUCAUGGACUCUGCAAUCCCUGCAUAUAGAUGGCCAAUACUUCAUUUAAAUAAUUUAAAAUUUCUAGUUUUAUUUUGCAGUAAUCACUUACUAAAAGCAUACAUUGAAAUAGAAUAUUGUUGCAUCCAAUCUUAGGCAUUAAAUAUAAGUGAUAAUGUGGCACUAAAGGCACUGUCCAAAUGGCCAUAGUGGUUUUUAACAUUUGUUUUAUUUCUUCCUCUAAAGGGAGGUUUUUCAACUUUAAAAUUCAUGGAGAUUACUUGGCAUAAUUCCCUUGAGCUACUCUAAAUGGUUUUGAAAGAGUCGUAAUUUCUCUCAUGCGAGGAAUAUAUGAUGCUUUUACUUAGAAAGAGGAAGAAAAAAUGUUUGCAGUUUCACUUUGAAUUUUUAAAAAAUUUCUGUAACAAUUAGCUCUUGAUUCGUAAAUUAUAAAUAAAGCUAUUUUAUUAUCCAUUGCUACUGAAACAUCGUGUCCUGUGACAUUUUAGUAUUUAUUAUUCUGGGGAUUUAAUUUUUAUCUUGUACUCUUUUAUAGGAAAUAGUUUAUGAAUCUUAAGUCUAAAUACUUAUUGUCCUAUGCCAAUUGCUGUAAUCUCCAUUUCUCCAAAUUUUUCAUUUAUGCGUGAAUGAAAUGCAUUUCUCAUGGUGUUUCAGUGGACAGUACUGGCUUUGGAGGCAGAUACACCAGGAUUUGAAACAAACUCUGAUGCACAGGAACACUAUGAUUUUGAAAGGCACACAAGGCUUUGCAGCCUCAACAUCCUUAGCUGUAAGAUGGGAAAAAUUAAGACACCUAACUAGUAAGCUAUUGCGGGGCUUAUUCAAGAGAAUAAAUGUAAAGGCUAGUGUGGUGGAGACAAUGCUAUAUAUUCACCAAAUUCCAUUUCCAUUUCCUCUUUGUGAACUUGACACCACAUUUUCAACCUCCUUUAUAGUUAGUUUGGGACCACGUGACUAGGUUAUUGUGUGGACUAUUUUUAGUUUUGGCUACCCAUCCUGGCUUCUGGUGGGGCUACAUGUUUUAGGUCAUGUGGCUACAAGACAAAGGAAGAUUGCUCAACCCACAUAAGACUUUAUGUAAGCAAAAAAUCAACUUUCCUUGUAAAGCCACUAAGAUUUUGGGGUGUAUUUGUUACUGCAGCAUUGAUUAGCCUACACUGAAUAAUAUACUCAAUAUAUAUCAUAAACAGUUAAUGAAUUUUAGCAUUUAACUUAUCUAUGAACUUUAAAUUAUGGAAGGAGUACUUUGAUAUAAAUUAAGAGGGUAAAAAAGGAAGACAGUAUAUACUGCACCACAUUUUGUGUAGGGAGGAAGGGGAAAUUAAGAAGUACUUAUGUAUUUGCUUAUUUUGUGAAAAAAAAAUGCAGGAAAGGAAAAACCAGAAACUACUAAAAAAUGAUUACCUAUAAGCGGUAAAUUGGAAUUGGGUGAAGAUGAUAUUCAAGGGGAUGAGACAUCUCUGACUAAACAUGUUUAUACAAUGUUAUUUUAUUUUAUUUUUUUGUCUUUUGUCUUUUUAGGACUGCACCCACGGCAUAUGGAGGUUCCCAGGCUAGGAGUCUAAUUGGAGCUGUAGCUGCUGACCUACACCACAGCCACAGCAACGCUAGAUCUGAGCUGUGUCUGUGACCUACACCAUGGCUCACGGCAAUGCCCGAUCCUUAACCCACUGAGCGAGGCCAGGGAUUGAACCCACAACCUCAUGGUUCCUAGUUGGAUUCGUUUCCACUGCACCACAAUGGGAACUCCUACAAUAUUAAUUUUUGAACCACAUAGUUUGUAUAUUUAGAAAUAAGAGUAAAUCAUAAAGGAAAAAUGCCCAAAAAUUGUAUCUUAAACCAGUGAUCCAACUCUCUGACUGUAUAUAUAGUAAUAUUAUUGGAAACCAGGAAUUUCCAGUAUAAGAGGAAAAAAAAUAAAAGAGAACUUUUAAAAAGCACUUUUAUGUUAAAUGCCUGUAACCAUAUGAACUCAUACAAUUCAUAUUCCCCCUCUUUCUCACUCAUUCUCCAUGUAUUUGUGUGUGUGUGUGUGUAAACAACUAUGAAUGUAGUUAUAUAAUCUCCUGGUUGUGUUUGUGAAGGAGCCUAGAAACGACACCCUAGCAGCAAUGAGCCCAACCAGCCCCCUUAUCUUGAAUCUCUUAAUAUAAUAACUGGUACAGGCAAGAAUAAUCAAAUGGGUACUAUAACCAUUAUCUGAAAGUAGUGGGCAAUAGGUUAUUCCCAAAAGGGCCACUCCACAGAUCAUUACUAAUUUCAAUGGGAAAGGUGUUUUGAUAUGUGAUCCCCCACAGAUGCAUUUGGCUCUGCCUGUCCCUCAGGACCCACUUGCCUUGAUUGUUGGGUAAAGUGGGGUCCCAGUGAUGGCUGUAAAGCUCCAGGCUUCAUCUAGUCACCUCACCUCCUACAGUGAAAGAUGUCUCUGCUUUGGCAAGUCUCUCAUUACACCUGCUAGGACCAAAGCUGCAGAGCUUCCAUGCUCAGGUCCAACAUAGCAGGACACGUGGAGGCCCUGUUUUUUCCAGUGGCUGCCCAGAGGUGCCUGGUAACACGGUCCAGAGGUACAGAGGUAUAAACACCCCAUAGGCGUUAUUCCAAAGGAGUCCUCCAGGAUGGGGUAUCUUCUAGCAACUCCAAAGAUGUCCCACAUGACUAAGUGACCAGCCAGGCUGCUUAUGAAACCCUUGCCUGCUCAGCAAUGAACCACCUUUCAUUUGUCUCCCUCUUUUUCUGUCUCAAUUCUUUUCUUCCCCCCUUUUUUGCUCUCAUACCCAUUAUAAAACACUGUCAAGUAAACUUGGCCUCAGUCUUUGUGCCCAGGCAGAUGUGAUAGUCACCUUUUCAACCAAGUCAUUACCAGUAGUGGAUUACAUGUGAUC
rnacentral:lncRNA from 1 species